AGAAGUCGUAACAAGGUUUCCGUAGGUGAACCUGCGGAAGGAUCAUUGUCGAAACCUGCCAAGUAGAACGACCCGCGAACUAGUAUAUACAGCAGGCACGGGGGGCGUUUUGUGGCGGGCUUGAUUGCCUCCACUCUCCGGCCCUUGCCGGGUGCGCUGUUUGAAUAGCGUUCCUCGGCUAAAAACAAACCCCGACGCGAAUCGCGUCAAGGAACUCGAACAAGAGAAGAGAAGCGCGCCCCCCGGUUCUCGUUCGCGAGUGAAGCUUAUGGGGGGUAGCAGUCACAUCUUUUCACGAACAUAAUGACUCUCGGCAACGGAUAUCUCGGCUCUCGCAUCGAUGAAGAACGUAGCGAAAUGCGAUACUUGGUGUGAAUUGCAGAAUCCCGUGAACCNNNNNNNNNNNNNNNNNNAGUUGCGCCCGAAGCCAUUAGGCUGAGGGCACGUCUGCCUGGGCGUCUCACAUCGCGUCGCCCCUCGCCCUGUGCCCCAAAAAGGGUUCUUGGGUUGAUGGGGGCGGAUUUUUGGCCCCCCGUGUGCCCUCGUGCGCGGUCGGCCUAAAGAUGAGUCCCUGGCGACGAACGUCACGAUGAGUGGUGGAUUUGAUAACGUUACGUCACGUCGUGCACGUCUCGUCCCAAAGGGUUGUUUUGGUAAAUCGACCUUGAAAGCACCAUUUCCA
rnacentral:misc_RNA from 1 species